rnacentral:rRNA from 1 species
CGGGACGGGUGAGUAACGACGUGGAAAACCUAGCCGUAUACUGGGGGAUAACACUUAGAAAUAGGUGCUAAUACCGCAUAAGCGCACAGCUUCGCAUGAAGUGGUGUGAAAAACUCUGGUGGUAUACGAUGGUUCCGCGUCUGAUUAGCUUGUUGGUGGGGUAAUGGCUCACCAAGGCGACGAUCAGUAGCCGGCCUGAGAGGGUGAACGGCCACAUUGGGACUGAGACACGGCCCAAACUCCUACGGAAGGCAGCAG